GACGAACGCUGGCGGCGUGCUUAACACAUGCAAGUCGAACGGUGAAGCGCCUUCCUUUUUGGUGGGUGUGGAUGAGUGGCGAACGGGUGAGUAACACGUGAGUAACCUGCCCCCUUCUUCUGGAUAACCGCAUGAAAGUGUGGCUAAUACGGGAUAUUCUGGGCCUGUCGCAUGAUGGGUCUGGGAAAGAUAUUGUUUCGGUGGGGGAUGGGCUCGCGGCCUAUCAGCUUGUUGGUGGGGUGAUGGCCUACCAAGGCGGUGACGGGUAGCCGGCCUGGGAGGGUGGACGGUCACACUGGGACUGAGACACGGCCCAGACUCCUACGGGAGGCAGCAGUGGGGAAUAUUGCACAAUGGGCGCAAGCCUGAUGCAGCGACGCCGCGUGAGGGAUGGAGGCCUUCGGGUUGUGAACCUCUUUCGCCAGUGAAGCAGGCCUGCCUCGUUUGUGGGUGGGUUGACGGUAGCUGGAUAAGAAGCGCCGGCUAACUACGUG
rnacentral:rRNA from 1 species